UGCAGCUGAGCGGUAGAGGCCCUUCGGGGUCUUGAGAGCGGCGUACGGGUGCGGAACACGUGUGCAACCUGCCUUUAUCAGGGGGAUAGCCUUUCGAAAGGAAGAUUAAUACCCCAUAAUAUUUUGGAUGGCAUCAUUUAAAAUUGAAAACUGAGGUGGAUAAAGAUGGGCACGCGCAAGAUUAGAUAGUUGGUGAGGUAACGGCUCACCAAGUCGAUGAUCUUUAGGGGGCCUGAGAGGGUGAUCCCCCACACUGGUACUGAGACACGGACCAGACUCCUACGGGAGGCAGCAGUGAGGAAUAUUGGACAAUGGGUUAGCGCCUGAUCCAGCCAUCCCGCGUGAAGGACGACGGCCCUAUGGGUUGUAAACUUCUUUUGUACAGGGAU
rnacentral:rRNA from 1 species